UAUAAUAUAUUUAUAUAAAUAAUAUUUAUAUUUAGUAUUUAUAAUAUAAAUAAUUCUAUGUACUUAUUUAUAUAAAUAAUUCAAUAAAAUCCAUCUUCAUACUUUCAAAAAAUCAGUCAACGAAGCCCGUCAUUGUCAAAUGCUGGUAAAUCCCAUUUAAAUUCACCAAAAACAUCUUCCUAUGCAAUUGACAAAACUGCUUAUAAGCUAAAGAUAUGCCCCAAAUUUGAACUCACCGCUCACCAUCUAACCCCGAUGAUUUUUACAUAGGCUUGAGUCGCUGGAGAGAAGCAACUUAAAAAUCAGAUUAUUAUGCCGAUAUAACUCCGAAUACCACCGUAGAAAUACGAUCAUGGUCCGAGUACGGAAGGAUGCAGCAUACAGCGCUGCUAUUACUAGUAUGGGUACCUAUUUCAUUGCUUAGUUAUUUACUGUAUGACAAAAAUAGAGUAAAAUACGUUUGUCUUUUCUUAUUAGGUAGGUACUUGCUGCUUGUACUACAUAAUUAAAUAUUCUCGUACGCAACUUAAAAUCCUGCUUAUUAUGUGUUUGUUCAAUUUUUU
rnacentral:lncRNA from 1 species